UACAGAGGUGGCAAGCGUUGUUCGGAAUUACUGGGCGUAAAGGGCGCGUAGGCGGUUCGUUAAGUCCUGUGUGAAAUCCCCCGGCUCAACUGGGGAACUGCACAGGAAACUAGCGGGCUUGAGUUCGGGAGAGGGAAGCGGAAUUCCCGGUGUAGCGGUGAAAUGUGUAGAGAUCGGGAGGAACACCGGUGGCGAAGGCGGUCUUCUGGACGGUGACUGACGCUGAGGCGCGAAAGCGUGGGGAGCAAACGGG
rnacentral:rRNA from 1 species